CCAAUCAAAAAGCCCAUGCUGCUUUACAUUAUCUUUCACAAAAUAUACAUUUGUGGGUAUAAGAGAGGGCCACCUAGUCACCACCAUUCUCAAGCUGUGCCAAUAAAGCAUAUACACUAGACUAUAGAUUGUGUUUUCCAAUAAUACUUAACUACAUUUAUAAUUAUUUCCUUCUGCGGAGGAAAAAGCAAAGCGUGGGGAGUCUGUGUCAUGGUCAUACACAAGUUAAGUCAAUAAAUAAAAGUAAGAUCCUCGAAAAUAUGCUUGCCUUUCAUUUUAUAAUUACACUAGUCAAGAAUGUAUUUAUUUUUUUAAUCAAAGAUUCAAGAACACUUUUCUCGAUGAAUGUUUUGUGCUGAUUCCGAAACUGCAACCAUUUUUAUCUUGAGCAUAUUGUUGUAAAAAUUACAAUCGUAAAAGCUUGUUUAGGUCCAACUUAAAAACAAAAAUUAAAAAUAUCUCAAGUCUGAUGUGCUGCAGGACAAACGUAAAGACAAUUUUGAAAUCAGCAUCAAAAAAUGUUUUAAUUCUGAUUUUGAGAAAACUCCAAAUAUUUCCACUUUCAAUUCUUUUUAAACAAAUAUCCUCUUUAAUUGAUAAAAGCAAAGUUUUUUCUCAGCAAUUUAGAAACCAGGGUCAAAAUAGAGGAGUAAUGUAGAAAAAUUGAAUGUGCCAUUUGUAGAGGUUAAAAAAGCAGACCAAUGUAACUGCAAUUACUGAGGUCAUAAUGGAGAUUGAUAGGUUGAUUGUUCGUAUCAAGAUUUUAUUAGUUAGGCCUCAUAUUACUGUAUUGCAGCAAAGUUUGUCACAAUAGUGUUAUUCCCAGCAGUGCACUUCAAUCUCGAGUCAGUGGUGGUCUCGGGACAACCGAGGUGCCAGUAAAGCGGCCCAUUUAACUACGGGCAGGAGGGCCAGCAGAUGGGAGUCGGCCCCCGAAGCGCGGCUCAGCGGGGUCAAGUCGCCCUCCCUGCCAUGCCAGUCAGCAAGUGUGGAAGACCCAUGGUGGCUCGAUAUGCAAUGUCAACAACUACAACAAGGGAGAUCGAUGCUCUUCUCUUCGGACGCAUGAUUUUCUGGGGCCUUCCUGAAGCAACCUGGGAACCAAACCGAAGCCAGAUGCAGGAGAAGCAGCAACGUGACGGGCAAGCAAAUCCCUGCCAAUGGAACUCAAAAAGGAUGCACAUUUAUCAAACGAUCACCAAAAAGCUUUACCAAAAAAAAAGUAUCUGUAUAAAAGU